AGGUGACCUGCGGAGGAUCAUUAUCGUGGGGCUUCGGCCCCGUCGAGAUUGCACCCUUGCCUUUAUGAGUACCUUGGUUCCCUCCCCCGUACCUCCGGGGAGCGGGAGGGGCCUUGUCUGUUUUCCCCGCGGCGGUGAGAGCCCCCGGGGACCGGAAACACGCUGUAACACCUGUAACUGUCUGAUAAACAAACAAAAAAUCAAAACUUUCAACAACGGAUCUCUUGGUUCUGGCAUCGAUGAAGAACGCAGCGAAAUGCGAUAAGUAGUGUGAAUUGCACAAUUCAGUGAAUCAUCUAAUCUUUGAACGCACAUUGCGCCCUUUGGUAUUCCUUAGGGCAUGCCUGUUCGAGCGUCAUUUAACCCUUCAAGCCCUGCUUGGUGUUGGGUGCCUGUCCCGCCUCCGCGCGUGGACUCACCUCAAAUCCAUUGGCGGCCCCCGCACGGCCACGACCGCAACAAAAACUCAAACUCGUGUGCCGGACCGGGCGGCUCCCAAAAGCUACUCUCCCCAUUUUGACCUCGGAUCAGGUAGGGAUACCCGCUGAACUUACCCAUAUCAAUAACCGCAGGA
rnacentral:rRNA from 1 species